rnacentral:rRNA from 1 species
UACGUAGGGUGCAAGCGUUAAUCGGAAUUACUGGGCGUAAAGCGUGCGCAGGCGGUGAUGUAAGACAGAUGUGAAAUCCCCGGGCUCAACCUGGGAACUGCAUUUGUGACUGCAUCGCUGGAGUACGGCAGAGGGGAUGGAAUUCCGCGUGUAGCAGUGAAAUGCGUAGAUAUGCGGAGGAACACCGAUGGCGAAGGCAAUCCCCUGGCCUGUACUGACGCUCAUGCACGAAAGCGUGGGGAGCAAACAGG